rnacentral:sRNA from 1 species
UUUGACGCGUUAACCUUAAAUUAAGGAUUAUCGUGCAGCCUGAAUGCGUCCCUUAAGUGGGACAUUCGAGUGGCUUCUUCUCCACUCGUCCUUGAUGCCUCCCUGUCAAGAUGCCUUGAGAGCCGCCAUCGCGGCUCUCUUUUU